ACUCGAGUGGCGAACGGGUGAGUAACACGUGGGUGAUCUGCCCUGCACUUCGGGAUAAGCUUGGGAAACUGGGUCUAAUACCGGAUAGGAACCAUCUUUAGUGUGGUGGUUGGAAAGUUUUUUCGGUGUAGGAUGAGCUCGCGGCCUAUCAGCUUGUUGGUGGGGUAAUGGCCUACCAAGGCGGCGACGGGUAGCCGGCCUGAGAGGGUGUACGGCCACAUUGGGACUGAGAUACGGCCCAGACUCCUACGGGAGGCAGCAGUGGGGAAUAUUGCACAAUGGGCGCAAGCCUGAUGCAGCGACGCCGCGUGGGGGAUGAAGGCCUUCGGGUUGUAAACUCCUUUCGCUAGGGACGAAGCUUUUUGGUGACGGUACCUAGAUAAGAAGCACCGGCUAACUACGUGCCAGCAGCCGCGGUAAUACGUAGGGUGCGAGCGUUGUCCGGAAUUACUGGGCGUAAAGGGCUCGUAGGUGGUUUGUCGCGUCGUCUGUGAAAUUCUGGGGCUUAACUCCGGGCGUGCAGGCGAUACGGGCAUAACUUGAGUGCUGUAGGGGUAACUGGAAUUCCUGGUGUAGCGGUGAAAUGCGCAGAUAUCAGGAGGAACACCGAUGGCGAAGGCAGGUUACUGGGCAGUUA
rnacentral:rRNA from 1 species